UCUCUGUGCUAAGUAGUACUGCCGCAGGGAGUGCUGCGGACUGAUUCUAUCCCCUGCGCAGUCCUACUUACAACAGGGA
ncrna:Branchiostoma belcheri (Belcher's lancelet) microRNA bbe-mir-252b precursor